rnacentral:rRNA from 1 species
UNGNNGUUUNUGNNNNNNNCUCAGGAUGAACGCUGGCGGCGUGCCUAAUACAUGCAAGUCGAACGCUUUGUCUUUAAUUGAUCUGACGAGCUUGCUCUGAAGUGAUUUUAUCUGACAAAGAGUGGCGAACGGGUGAGUAACACGUGGGUAACCUACCUCUUAGCAGGGGAUAACAUUUGGAAACAAGUGCUAAUACCGUAUAAUACCAACAACCGCAUGGUUGUUGGUUGAAAGAUGGUUCUGCUAUCACUAAGAGAUGGACCCGCGGUGCAUUAGCUAGUUGGUAAGGUAAUGGCUUACCAAGGCAAUGAUGCAUAGCCGAGUUGAGAGACUGAUCGGCCACAAUGGGACUGAGACACGGCCCAUACUCCUACGGGAGGCAGCAGUAGGGAAUCUUCCACAAUGGGCGCAAGCCUGAUGGAGCAACGCCGCGUGUGUGAUGAAGGGUUUCGGCUCGUAAAACACUGUUAUAAGAGAAGAACGGCACUGAGAGUAACUGUUCAGUGUGUGACGGUAUCUUACCAGAAAGGAACGGCUAAAUACGUGCCAGCAGCCGCGGUAAUACGUAUGUUCCAAGCGUUAUCCGGAUUUAUUGGGCGUAAAGCGAGCGCAGACGGUUAUUUAAGUCUGAAGUGAAAGCCCUCAGCUCAACUGAGGAAUGGCUUUGGAAACUGGAUGACUUGAGUGCAGUAGAGGAAAGUGGAACUCCAUGUGUAGCGGUGAAAUGCGUAGAUAUAUGGAAGAACACCAGUGGCGAAGGCGGCUUUCUGGACUGUAACUGACGUGNGNUCG